UCUUCAUCGCUUCACUCUCUCUCUCUCUCUCUCUCUCUCUGAAAGCAUCAACACGCAACAGAGAAGUAAGGAACCCUGAAAAAUCAAUUAUCAUCUGAUCCUGUUGGGUCCCCAAUAUGUGUGCACCACUUUUUCGACUUUCAUAUGCACUACUUGUGGUGGGAUUCACCAUGAAUUCACACACCGAGUAAAGUCAGUAUUAAUGGCUAAAUUUACACCAUAAAAGAUUGCUUCUCUUCAGGCUGACGGAAAUGAGCGUGCAAAGGAAAUACACUUUAAAGAUUGGGAUUCUCAACGGCAAGCUGCUCACGAUAGCAGGUAAUUCUUGAGGAAGUUGAAAAAGGUUAAGAAGAGCAACAAUCAGAAUUUUGCCAUCAAUGAGGUAAAUAUGCAUCUUCAUAUGGAAUUAUAAAUUUUGCCUCAACUUUUAGUUUUACAGUUUUCCCUACAACCAAACUGAGAAUGAUUUUCACUCACGCACAACUCCAAUGAUUUUCUUUCAUUGAUGUUACAUGUACCAAACUUGUGCGAAUAACAAUUGGCAGGUAAAGUUGCAAUCCAUCAUAUCAAUGCUCGAGUGUUUGCUAAUAAGGGUUACUUUCCUUUUGGAUUAUUUCAUCAUAUCAGCUCCAUCUAGACUCAAACCAGUAAAAAAUAACAGAGAAAAGGCAGGGUAUGCACUAGGCAAUGAUGGAAUUGUGAUGGAAAGAUUCUUGUGCUGAAGCGAAGUAAUAAUGUUGACAUUUUGUUUUCCUCGGUGGUCAUCCAGAGUAUGACCAAGCUGUUGAGAGAGUUAGGGAGCUUAGAUCAGACUACAAAAUGUUCGCCAGGGCCCUGACCAGGAAAGAAACUGCUUUGGCAAAAUUGGCAAAGACUUCAAAGGAUUAUGAACCAGCUAUUGAAGCGUUCCACAAAUUAAAGCUUUGACAGAGGACCGCAAUCCCGAUACUCUACAAAGCUGUUUGAUGCUGAAAGGGCAAAGAAAGAACCGGAACAGCAGGAGUAUUUCAAUCCUAAAGUGGCUGAUGAAGAACGUGAGAAAGGUAAUGAGUAUUUUAAGGAGCAAAAGUAUCCUGAAGCAGUGAAGCAUUACACAGAAGCUAUCAGAAGGAACCCUACAGACCCAAAGGCUUACAGCAACAGAGCUGCAAGUUACACCAAGCUAGGGGCAAUGCCAGAAGCGUUGAAAGAUGCUGACAGUUAUGCAUCUCAUUUCUGCAGGCAAAAGCAAUGCAGGACCCCGAAAUCCAGAAUAUUCUCACCGAUCUUGUAAUGAGACAGGACUUCUUGUGUUGGAUGCUUUCAAUACAUUUGCCGUCUAGCUGUGUUCAAGAAUUGUCCUAUUUUUAAACAAGGGAUUUGACACCAAGGAAUUAUCUGCAAUACGUAUAGCUUGAUACCCUGUAUUUCCUUUUAGGAAGUAGGUAAAAACAGCCCACCAUUUUGCGUGCUAUUCAUCGGCACACGUGAAACAUGGUUCACACAUCCUUGUUAUUGUAAUUCUGGUAGCUUGUUUGCAACUAUAAUGAUUCUCUGUACACUUGAAUGAAGAUCUUUCUCCUAUUAAUUUGGCUACUUCCAAACCUUUCAAUUAGGUUCAUUGUUUCACUUAA